CCGACCUUAGCUCAGUUGGUAGAGCGGAGGACUGUAGUUGGUUAACAGUGCAGAUAAUCCUUAGGUCGCUGGUUCGAAUCCGGCAGGUCGGA
rnacentral:tRNA from 1 species